CCAUUUUUCCGUGAGACCCAUGUCCUGCUUUGAUAUUCCGUUUUUGGUUGUUCUUGAAUUUUGGUUUUAUUGAAAAAUUGAAUGCAAUAAUAAUAGUAUAAAUAUAUGAAUUAAAUAGAAAUUGCUACAACAAAAUUUCACUUUUAUUAUGUGUAAUGUAAUUCGUUGCUUUUGUUUGAGCUAGGUUGUUUUAGUUGCUUUUAGUUUAUUCUGUUUUUGAGGUUAUUAGAGCUUAUCGUUUAUCUGAUUGCUAAAAAUAUUGGGACUAAGUACAAGAAAAAUAUUGAGAAAUUUGUCUAAAAUGAGCUACACGCAAAUUAGAGAACUACUG
rnacentral:misc_RNA from 1 species